rnacentral:rRNA from 1 species
AUUGAACGCUGGCGGCAGGCCUAACACAUGCAAGUCGAACGAGUGGCGGACGGGUGAGUAAUGUCUGGGCAACUGCCUGAUGGAGGGGGAUAACUACUGGAAACGGUAGCUAAUACCGCAUACCAUCGGAUGUGCCCAGAUGGGAGUAGCUAGUAGGGAGGGUAAAGGCUCACCUGGGGGACGAUCGCUAGCUGGUCUGAUUGGAUGACCAACAACAAUUGAACUGAGACACGGACCAGGCUCCAACGGAAGGCAGCGGAGGGAAAUGUUGCAAAAUGGGCGCAAGCCGAGUGCGGCCAUGCGGCGUGUAUGAGAAGGCCCUUCGGGUUGUAAAGUACUUUCAGCGAGAAGGAGGUACCCGCAGAAGAAGAACCGGCUAACUCCGUGCCAGCAGCCGCGGUAAUUC